GUGUCAGCCGCCGCGGUAAUACGAAGGGGGCUAGCGUUGCUCGGAAUCACUGGGCGUAAAGCGCACGUAGGCGGCUUUCUAAGUCAGGGGUGAAAUCCUGGAGCUCAACUCCAGAACUGCCUUUGAUACUGGAGAGCUUGAGUCCGGAAGAGGUGAGUGGAACUCCGAGUGUAGAGGUGAAAUUCGUAGAUAUUCGGAAGAACACCAGUGGCGAAGGCGGCUCACUGGUCCGGUACUGACGCUGAGGUGCGAAAGCGUGGGGAGCAAACAGGAUUAGAUACCCCCGUAGUCC
rnacentral:rRNA from 1 species